GACGAACGCUGGCGGCGUGCUUAACACAUGCAAGUCGAACGGAAAGGCCCUGCUUUUGUGGGGUGCUCGAGUGGCGAACGGGUGAGUAACACGUGAGUAACCUGCCCUUGACUUUGGGAUAACUUCAGGAAACUGGGGCUAAUACCGGAUAGGAGCUCCUGCUGCAUGGUGGGGGUUGGAAAGUUUCGGCGGUUGGGGAUGGACUCGCGGCUUAUCAGCUUGUUGGUGGGGUAGUGGCUUACCAAGGCUUUGACGGGUAGCCGGCCUGAGAGGGUGACCGGCCACAUGGGGAGUGAGAUCCGGCCCAACCCCCGCGGGGGGGCAGGAGGGGGGAAUAUUGCAAAAUGGGGGGAAGCCUGAUGCAGCAACGCCGGGGGGGGGAUGACGGCCUUGGGGUUGUAAACCGCUUUCGCCUGUGACGAAGGGGGAGUGGCGGUAAUGGGUAAAGAAGCCCCGGCUAACUACGU
rnacentral:rRNA from 1 species